rnacentral:rRNA from 1 species
UCUCAAGUAUAUGAAGAGCAUAUGGUGGAUGCCUAGGCGAAUAGAGGCGAAGAAGGACGUGUUACGCUGCGAUAAGCGUUGGUUAGCUGCGAAAAAGCUUUGAUCCGACGAUUUCCGAAUGGGGCAACCCGGCUAUUUAUAGUCAUCUAUGACUGAAUACAUAGGUCAUGGAAGCGAACUCAGGGAACUGAAACAUCUUAGUACCUGAAGGAAAGGACAUCAACCGAGACUCCGUUAGUAGUGGCGAGCGAACGCGGACCAGGCCAGUGGCUGCAGAUUAAAAACCGGAACAUUCUGGAAAGGAUGGCCGUAGUGGGUGAUAGCCCCGUACGGGUAAAUUGGUUUGCAGUCCUCGAGUAGGGCGGAACACGUGAAAUUCUGUCUGAAAAUGGGGGGACCACCCUCCAAGCCUAAGUACUCCUAUUCGACCGAUAGUGAACAAGUACCGUGAGGGAAAGGUGAAAAGCACCCCGAUAAGGGGAGUGAAAGAGACCCUGAAACCGUAUGCUUACAAUCAGUUGGAGCCCCUUUAUGGGGUGACAGCGUACCUUUUGUAUAAUGGGCCAACGACUUAAUUUAUCAUGCGAGCUUAAGCCGUUAGGUGUAGGCGCAGCGAAAGCGAGUCUUAAUAGGGCGAUUUAGUAUGAUGUAUUAGACCCGAAACCGAGUGAUCUAGUUAUGGGCAGGUUGAAGGUGCGGUAACACGCACUGGAGGACCGAACCCACGUCUGUUGAAAAAGACGGGGAUGACCUGUGACUAGGGGUGAAAGGCCAAUCAAACUCGGAGAUAGCUGGUUCUCCGCGAAAUCUAUUUAGGUAGAGCGUCGGAUUAAUACCGUCGGGGGUAGAGCACUGGAUGGAUGCGGGGGGCGCGAGCCUUACCAAUUCUAACCAAACUCCGAAUACCGAUGAGUACUGUCCGGCAGACACACUACGGGUGCUAAGGUCCGUAGUGGAGAGGGAAACAGCCCUGACCGACAGCUAAGGUCCCAAAGUCAUGUCUAAGUGGGAAAGCAAGUGAGAAGGCCAAAACAACCAGGAGGUUGGCUUAGAAGCAGCCACCCUUUAAAGAAAGCGUAACAGCUCACUGGUCUAAUAGCCAUCUUGCGGCGAAGAUGUAACGGGGCUAAAGACAUGCACCGAAGCUUCGGAUUUGAUGUUUUGCAUCAAGUGGUAGCGGAGCGUUCUGUAAGCCUGUGAAGGGGUACCCGCGAGGGGUCCUGGAGGUAUCAGAAGCGCGAAUGUUGGCAUGAGUAACGAUAAAGAGUGUGAGAGACACUCUCGCCGAAAAUCCAAGGGUUCCUGCGUAAAGUUAAUCUGCGCAGGGUUAGCCGGUCCCUAAGGCAAGGCCGAAAGGCGUAGUCGAUGGGAACUCAGUUUAAUAUUACUGGGCCUGAUGAGAAGUGACGGAUGGUGUAAAUGGUUCUUCCUUACUGGAUUGGAAGGGCUGUGAAACCGUCCCAGGAAAUAGCCUCAUCAUUAUAGACCGUACCCCAAACCGACACAGGUGGAUAGGUAGAGCAUACCAAGGCGCUUGAGAGAACGAUGUUGAAGGAACUCGGCAAAUUGCCUCCGUAACUUCGGGAGAAGGAGGCCCUCACAGAAGGCAACUUUUGUGAGGGGGCACAGACCAGGGGGUGGCGACUGUUUACUAAAAACACAGGGCUCUGCGAAGUCUCAAGACGACGUAUAGGGUCUGACGCCUGCCCGGUGCUGGAAGGUUAAAAGGAGGUGUGCAAGCACUGAAUUGAAGCCCCAGUAAACGGCGGCCGUAACUAUAACGGUCCUAAGGUAGCGAAAUUCCUUGUCGGGUAAGUUCCGACCUGCACGAAUGGCGUAACGACUUCCCCACUGUCUCCAACAUCGACUCAGUGAAAUUGAAUUCCCCGUGAAGAUGCGGGGUACCCGCGGUUAGACGGAAAGACCCCGUGCACCUUUACUAUAGCUUUAGAGUGAUAAUGGAUAUGUUAUGUGUAGAAUAGGUGGGAGGCUUUGAAGCAGUUGCGCCAGUAGCUGUGGAGCCACAAUGUGAAAUACCACCCUUAACCUGUCUAUUAUCUAACCACGACCCGUGAACCCGGGUCUGGGACCCUCUAUGGUGGGUAGUUUGACUGGGGCGGUCGCCUCCCAAAGAGUAACGGAGGCGCGCGAUGGUAGGCUCAGGUUGGUCGGAAAUCAACUGUGAGAGUGCAAUGGCAUAAGCCUGCCUGACUGCGAGACUGACAAGUCGAGCAGAGACGAAAGUCGGUCAUAGUGAUCCGGUGGUCCCGCGUGGAAGGGCCAUCGCUCAACGGAUAAAAGGUACGCCGGGGAUAACAGGCUGAUAACGCCCAAGAGUCCAUAUCGACGGCGUUGUUUGGCACCUCGAUGUCGGCUCAUCUCAUCCUGGGGCUGGAGCAGGUCCCAAGGGUAUGGCUGUUCGCCAUUUAAAGAGGUACGUGAGCUGGGUUUAGAACGUCGUGAGACAGUUCGGUCCCUAUCUGCCGUGGGCGCAGGAGAAUUGAGAGGAUCUGUCCCUAGUACGAGAGGACCGGGAUGGACACACCUCUGGUGGACCUGUUGUUGCGCCAGCAGCAUUGCAGGGUAGCUAUGUGUGGACAGGAUAACCGCUGAAAGCAUCUAAGCGGGAAACCCCCCUCAAGAUAAGUUCUCCCUUAAGAGCCGUGGAAGACCACCACGUUGAUAGGCUGGAUGUGGAAGUGCAGUAAUGUAUGAAGCUGACCAGUACUAAUUACUCAAUCGACUUGAUAUCUCAUCAUGA